UGUUUCCCCCUUUCGCUUUCCCUGGCUGGGACCCCAGAAAGCUGAGGCGGGUGGGGACCCUCCUCCAAGACCCGUGGAACCCGUGACGUGGCUGCUGACCAAGCCUCAGUGGUCAGAUUUUUCCAGUGCCUGGGUCUGUCCCUCAGUCUGUGUUGGGGGGAGGAGCGGGGCACCCCCCACACACACACACAUCAUUCCUGUGCUAAAUUAACCCCUUUUGCUCCGCCUUCAUUCUCACAGAAGUGGGAGCCAGUGAAUCCCUCGUUCCUCAUUAUUCCAUGAGAUUGGAAGGGCUCAGUUCCCUGGCCCAGCUCUACCUUUGAGGCUUUUUAUUAUUUACUCAGUGUGUGUAUGUGUGUGUGAAGGGGUGGGGGGGAAUUCAGACUGGCUUUGAACUCACGAUGUAGCUGAGAGUAACGUUGAGCUUCCGAUCUUCCUGCCUCCCGUGGUGCUGGGAUUACAGGCUGUGCCACCAAGCUUGGUUUAUGUAGCGCUGAAAAUCCAACCCAGGGCUUUGCUCAUACUAGGGGCAGCGUUCUGUGUUGACCCCCGCGUUGCUGAUGAGAAACGGAGGUUCUGGGAACAGCGCGGCACGCUCCACCUCACACAGACCAGUGGUAGAUUGAAGCUCGGCUCUCACCCCUCUGCCAUCCCAGCCACUCCUGCUCUUCACACACCCAUGCCCCAGAGAAGCUUCUCUUUUCAGAUGGUGAUGACCACUGUGAUGGCCCAAA